GAGAGUAGGCGCAGGCGGUUGCAGAUCAGUCAUAGUCACUGGUUUGAGGAAAGUCCGGACUCCCGAAAGACCAAACUUGCUGGAUAACGUCCAGUGCGAGCGAUCGUGAGGAUAGUGCCACAGAAAGAUACCGCCAAAACUAGGGACUGGGGACUAGGGACUAGGGACUGGGAAGAAUUUUCCUAAUCCCCAAUCCCUAAUCCCCAAUCCCCAACUUGGUAAGGGUGCAAAGGUGCGGUAAGAGCGCACCAGCAGUAUCGAGAGGUGCUGGCUCGGUAAACCCCGGUUGGGAGCAAGGCGAUAGGAACUACGGUUGGUCUUUUACCAGUUCCGCUCAAUGAGAGCCGCUAGAGGCGUUUGGUAACAAACGUCCCAGAUAGAUAACUGCCCUCGCAAGAGAACAGAACCCGGCUUAUGUCCUGCUCUCUCCC
rnacentral:RNase_P_RNA from 1 species